rnacentral:misc_RNA from 1 species
CGAACCGGUUCAACUCAUUAACCGGCUCACCGUACCGUCGUCAUUUUCCGGUCAAAUCUCUCCCCGUUAAUUUUCCCGUCGUAGGUCCUUCGUCUUUAUCGAUCUCCGUGAAGUGCAAAUCUUCCUCCUCCUACUCGGCGGUCAUCGGGAGGCGUAUGCCGGUGGAGAUGAGUUCUAGUCCGAUGACGGCGUCGGUGGUGGAGGAUUUUGUUCACGUUGAUGGAGAAGUUGCUAAUUUGAAUUCGGAAGGCUCGGAAGCGAGUGUUGUGGAGGAGCAAGGAGCUGAAGAGGUAAUUUCGGCGAAUGUAGAAGGUGAAGGAGAAGGCUAUGAAAGGAAGGUUUUGCCGGAGGAAUUGUCGAGGAGUGUAAUGAUGCUAACUUGUGAUUCUUCUGCCAAUGGAGGCAUUUGCGAUGUGUAUGUUGUUGGCACUGCUCACGUUUCUUCGGAAUCCUGCCAAGAAGUUGAAGCAGUGAUCAAUUUCUUGAAACCAGAGGUUGUCUUCUUGGAGUUAUGCUCAGGUCGGGUGGGUAUACUCACACCUCAGAAUUUAAAGGUACCAACAAUGGGAGAAAUGGUGGAGAUGUGGAAGAAAAAACAAAAUCUGUUUGGGAUACUCUACAGCUGGUUUCUUGCCAAGGUUGCUACCAA